rnacentral:lncRNA from 1 species
CAAAACUUAAUUAAGAAUUAAGAAGUUGUUUGAUUAGGUUCUAGGAUUGUGAAUUGAAGAACCUAAGACACAAAUCAUAAUACAUUGGGUUAAUGGGUUAGUGGGAAUUAGGUCCAUUAAUUGGGUUAGACCUAUGGUUAGAUUGAAGAUGGACUUAAUUAGAGAAUUGACUAAAUCUAAUUAAUUGUUGUCUUAGAUUAGGUCAAGGAUUCUCUAGAUCAAUUACAAUAGUUGUAGUUGGUCAAGUCCAUGUCUUUAACAAGAACCAAAUGGACUUGAUUCUUGGCUAAGCGGUCUAGCACGAACUGUUAGGUUGAUCUAAUCGAAACUAAUUAAACCAGUUGGUGUCUAAGGUAAACCAGACCGGUGGUUUUUAAUUGGGAGCUCACUUACCUGGCCAUUUCUGAU